GUUUUCUCGAUAUAAAAUGGGCAAUAAACUUAUUUAUUUUAAUGUUAAAAAAUUAUUUUUAAUAAGUUUUUUGAAAUGAAACGUUAUUCGUAUUUUAUUAUAUCUAGUUUUUUAAGAAAUAAGUUUAAUUUAUUUGUUAAUAGUUAACAAUUUGAUUUUAUGGGUUGUUAGGAGUUAACAGAAAAUAUUAUUGGGGAUAAGCUCAAUAAUAAAUUUUUAAUGGAGGAUUAAAGGAUUAGUUAGUGGGAUUAAAGGUUUCUUUCUAUAAAUAGUGUGUUAAUACAAUCUAAUUUUAUAUUUAGAUUUAUAUAAUGUUUAAAUGUUUUAUUAAAAUAUUUUAUUAAAUAGUUUAAUUAAAGGAAUAAUGAUUAAAUUAGUAUAGGGUUAUAAAUUAAUAUAGAUGGGUGAUAGGUAUAUUAAAGGAAUUCGGCAAAAGAGUUUUCGCCUGUUUAUUAAAAACAUGGUUUCUUGAUUAUAAUUUGAGAUUUGGCCUGCUCUAUGAUAAAUUAAAUGGCUGCAGUAUUUUGACUGUACAAAGGUAGCAUAAUAAUUAGUUUUUUAAUUGAGAACUGGAAUGAAGGGUCGGACGAGAAAUUAACUGUCUUUAAUGUAUUGAGGUAGAAUUUUAUUUUUAAGUGAAAAAGCUUAAAUGUGAUUAAAAGACGAGAAGACCCUAUAGAACUUUAUAUUUUUGUUGUAAUAAAAGCCAUAGGAAUUUACUUUGUUAUUAUAAAAAAUAUUAUGUUGGGGUGACAGAAAAAUUGAGUGAACUUUUUUGAAAUUAUUAUAUUGAUGAAUAAAUAAAUGAUCCAAGUAUAUUGAUUAUUAGAUUAAGUUACCUUAGGGAUAACAGCGUAAUCUUCUUGGAUAGUUCUUAUUGAAGGGGGGGGUUGCGACCUCGAUGUUGGAUUAAAUUUAAUAAUAGGUGUAGGAGCUUAUUAAUUUGGUCUGUUC
rnacentral:rRNA from 1 species